UGGGACCGUGAUGACAGCUGCCGGCGCAUGAGUCUUGGGAUGAAUAACUCGUGCCCGAAACUCUGAGGUCCAG
ensembl:snoRNA small nucleolar RNA, C/D box 114-14